rnacentral:tRNA from 1 species
CGGGGUGUAGCGCAGUCCGGUAGCGCACUACGUUCGGGACGUAGGGGUCGGAAGUUCGAAUCUUCUCACCCCGA